rnacentral:piRNA from 1 species
UAUGAGUUUGCCUCUGAAAUGCUGUUCAAU